rnacentral:rRNA from 1 species
UACGUAGGGCGCAAGCGUUGUCCGGAAUUAUUGGGCGUAAAGAGCUCGUAGGCGGCUUGUCACGUCGGGUGUGAAAGCCCGGGGCUUAACCCCGGGUCUGCAUUCGAUACGGGCAGGCUAGAGUGUGAUAGGGGAGAUCGGAAUUCCUGGUGUAGCGGUGAAAUGCGCAGAUAUCAGGAGGAACACCGGUGGCGAAGGCGGAUCUCUGGGCCAUUACUGACGCUGAGGAGCGAAAGCGUGGGGAGCGAACAGG